GGAGAAAAUAGUUCUAAAAAAACCCAAAACAAGAUGCAUGUCACAAAAUAUAAAAAGUGAAAUGAGAAAAAACAGGAGAACUAAGUAGAGAGGUUUAUAUAAAUGGUAUGUGGAGUUUGACAGUCACACAGGGCAUGUGAUAUCACUAGGCGAACUAGGGGGCGCAAUCUCCAGGUGACCAGCCGGAGGGAACUGCACUGCACAACGCUCCCUCUCAUGCCAGUCACUUCAUGUAGCGUGGCUAGGUGGAUCGCAGUAGAGGAUCCUCUGUAUCCUCCACCCAGUCUGAAAGGAAGCUGCUGGCUGAGAGCAAAGAGCAACUGCUUGUCAGAGGGUUGGGGAUACAAAGAGAUACACAGGGGGGCUAAU